rnacentral:rRNA from 1 species
UACAGGGGGGGCAAGCGUUGUUCGGAAUUACUGGGCGUAAAGGGCUCGUAGGCGGCCAACUAAGUCCGACGUGAAAUCCCAAGGCUUAACCUUGGAACUGCGUCGGAUACUGGUUGGCUUGAAUUCGGGAGAGGGAUGCAGAAUUCCAGGUGUAGCGGUGAAAUGCGUAGAUAUCUGGAGGAAUACCGGUGGCGAAGGCGGCAUCCUGGACCGACAUUGACGCUGAUGAGCGAAAGCUAGGGGAGCGAAUGGG